rnacentral:rRNA from 1 species
GAGUUUGAUCAUGGCUCAGAUUGAACGCUGGCGGCAGGCCUAACACAUGCAAGUCGAGCGGAUGAAGGGAGCUUGCUCCUGGAUUCAGCGGUGGACGGGUGAGUAAUGCCUAGGAAUCUGCCUGGUAGUGGGGGAUAACGUCCGGAAACGGGCGCUAAUACCGCAUACGUCCUGAGGGAGAAAGUGGGGGAUCUUCGGACCUCACGCUAUCAGAUGAGCCUAGGUCGGAUUAGCUAGUUGGUGGGUAAAGGCCUACCAAGGCGACGAUCCGUAACUGGUCUGAGAGGAUGAUCAGUCACACUGGAACUGAGACACGGUCCAGACUCCUACGGGAGGCAGCAGUGGGGAAUAUUGGACAAUGGGCGAAAGCCUGAUCCAGCCAUGCCGCGUGUGUGAAGAAGGUCUUCGGAUUGUAAAGCACUUUAAGUUGGGAGGAAGGGCAGUAAGUUAAUACCUUGCUGUUUUGACGUUACCAACAGAAUAAGCACCGGCUAACUUCGUGCCAGCCGCCGCAACG